ACGAACGCUGGCGGCGUGCUUAACACAUGCAAGUCAAGGACCGUAGGCAAUACGGGACUGGCGCACGGGUGCGGAACACGUAGGCAAUCUGCCCUUCAAGGGAGCACAACCAGCCGAAAGGUUGGCUAAAUCUCCGUAAAAUCAUAGAGUGGCAUCACUUAUUGAUCAAAUUUUUUGAAGGAUGAGCCUGCGUCUGAUUAGCUAGUUGGCGGGGUAACGGCCCACCAAGGCUACGAUCAGUAGCUGGUCUGAGAGGAUGAUCAGCCACAUUGGGACUGAGAUACGGCCCAGACUCCUACGGGAGGCAGCAGUGAGGAAUAUUGCUCAAUGGGGGAAACCCUGAAGCAGCAACGCCGCGUAAAGGAUGAAGGCGCUUUGCGUUGUAAACUUUUGUAGUCGGGGACAAAUUGUGGGUUACUACACACUAGAUGGUACCCGAAAAGUAAGGAUCGGCUAACUACGUGCCAGCAGCCGCGGUAAUACGUAGGAUCCGAGCGUUGUCCGGAUUUACUGGGUGUAAAGGGUGCGCAGGCGGACUGAUAAGUCAGUGGUGAAAUCUCGUCGCUUAACGACGAAACUGCCUUUGAUACUAUCAGUCUUGAAUCCGGUAGAGGAUCUGUGGAAUUCCGAGUUGUAGCAGUGGAAAUUGUGUUAGAUAUUCGGAAGAACACCAGUGGCGAAGGCAGCAGAUUGGGCCGGUAUUGACGCUCAGGCACGAAAGCAUGGGGAUCAAACAAGAUUAGAGACCCUGGUAGUCCAUGCCCUAAACGAUGUUCACUUGAUGUCUGCCCUAAGGGUAGGUGUCCGAAGCUAACGCGGAUAAGUGAACCACCUGGGAAGCACGCUCGCAAGGGUGAAACUCAAAGGAAUUGACGGGGGCCCGCACAAGCAGUGGAGCAUGUGGUUCAAUUCGAUGCAACGCGAAGAACCUUACCUAGGCUUGAAAAGCAGUCUAAAGCAGCGAAAGCUGUGUACCCGCAAGGGGGGCUGUACAGGUGCUGCAUGGCUGUCGUCAGCUCGUGCCGUGAGGUGUUUGGUUAAGUCCAGCAACGAGCGCAACCCCUGGGUUUAGUUGCCAGCACGUAAAGGUGGGAACUCUA
rnacentral:rRNA from 1 species